UGCAGUUCCACUGUCUGGACUUUUUAUGGCCCAGUCAGCGGUGCUGACUGAAGCCGCCAGGGUCCCGUUUCGACCGGGUAUUCUGGUC